rnacentral:rRNA from 1 species
UACGAAGGGGGCUAGCGUGGCUCGGAAUCACUGGGCGUAAGGGGUGCGUAGGCGGGUCUUUAAGUCAGGGGUGAAAUCCUGGAGCUCAACUCCAGAACUGCCUUUGAUACUGAAGAUCUUGAGUUCGGGAGAGGUGAGUGGAACUGCGAGUGUAGAGGUGAAAUUCGUAGAUAUUCGCAAGAACACCAGUGGCGAAGGCGGCUCACUGGCCCGAUACUGACGCUGAGGCACGAAAGCGUGGGGAGCAAACAGG